rnacentral:rRNA from 1 species
AGAGUUUGAUCCUGGCUCAGGAUGAACGCUGGCGGCGUGCUUAACACAUGCAAGUCGAACGAAGCGCUUAAAUGGAUUUCUUCGGAUUGAAGUUUUUGUGACUGAGUGGCGGACGGGUGAGUAACGCGUGGGUAACCUGCCUCAUACAGGGGGAUAACAGUUAGAAAUGACUGCUAAUACCGCAUAAGCGCACAGUGCUGCAUGGCACAGUGUGAAAAACUCCGGUGGUAUGAGAUGGACCCGCGUCUGAUUAGCUAGUUGGUGAGGUAACGGCCUACCAAGGCGACGAUCAGUAGCCGACCUGAGAGGGUGACCGGCCACAUUGGGACUGAGACACGGCCCAAACUCCUACGGGAGGCAGCAGUGGGGAAUAUUGCACAAUGGGGGAAACCCUGAUGCAGCGACGCCGCGUGAGUGAAGAAGUAUUUCGGUAUGUAAAGCUCUAUCAGCAGGGAAGAAAAUGACGGUACCUGACUAAGAAGCACCGGCUAAAUACGUGCCAGCAGCCGCGGUAAUACGUAUGGUGCAAGCGUUAUCCGGAUUUACUGGGUGUAAAGGGAGCGUAGACGGUUGUGUAAGUCUGAUGUGAAAGCCCGGGGCUCAACCCCGGGACUGCAUUGGAAACUAUGUAACUAGAGUGUCGGAGAGGUAAGCGGAAUUCCUAGUGUAGCGGUGAAAUGCGUAGAUAUUAGGAGGAACACCAGUGGCGAAGGCGGCUUACUGGACGGUAACUGACGUUGAGGCUCGAAAGCGUGGGGAGCAAACAGGAUUAGAUACCCUGGUAGUCCACGCC